CCUACGGGAGGCAGCAGUGAGGAAUAUUGGUCAAUGGGCGGAAGCCUGAACCAGCCAAGCCGCGUGAGGGAUGAAGGUUCUAUGGAUCGUAAACCUCUUUUAUAAGGGAAUAAAGGGCGGGACGUGUCCCGUUUUGUAUGUACCUUAUGAAUAAGGAUCGGCUAACUCCGUGCCAGCAGCCGCGGUAAUACGGAGGAUCCGAGCGUUAUCCGGAUUUAUUGGGUUUAAAGGGUGCGUAGGGGGCCCGUUAAGUCAGCGGUGAAAGGCUGUGGCUCAACCCUAGGAUCGCCGUUGAAACUGGCAGGCUUGAGUAUGUUUGAGGUAGGCGGAAUGCGCGGUGUAGCGGUGAAAUGCUUAGAUAUCGCGCAGAACUCCGAUUGCGAAGGCAGCCUGCCGAGCCCUGACUGACGCUGAUGCACGAAAGCGUGGGGAUCAAACAGGAUUAGAUACCCCUGUAGUC
rnacentral:rRNA from 1 species